rfam:Calypte anna contig4751, whole genome shotgun sequence.
UGGAAAUAUGAAGUGAGAGCACGACAGCACUACCCUUGGUUAGGAUGGAAGAAGUCCUAGUAGACUUCUAAUCAUGUUAAAAACUGUCACUUACUUUGUGCCAUCUAAUGUCUACCCUGG